rnacentral:rRNA from 1 species
GACGAACGCUGGCGGCGUGCUUAACACAUGCAAGUCGAACGGAAAGGCCCUGCUUUUGUGGGGUGCUCGAGUGGCGAACGGGUGAGUAACACGUGAGUAACCUGCCCUUGACUUUGGGAUAACUUCAGGAAACUGGGGCUAAUACCGGAUAGGAGCUCCUGCUGCAUGGUGGGGGUUGGAAAGUUUCGGCGGUUGGGGAUGGACUCGCGGGUUAUCAGCUUGUUGGUGGGGUAGUGGCUUACCAAGGCUUUGACGGGUAGCCGGCCUGAGAGGGUGACCGGCCACCUUGGGACUGCGAUACGGCCCAGACUCCUACGGGAGGCAGAAGUGGGGAAUAUUGCAGAAUGGGCGGAAGCCUGAUGCGGCAACGCCGCGUGCGGGAUGACGGCCUUCGGGUUGUAAACCGCUUUCGCCUGUGACGAAGCGUGAGUGACGGUAAUGGGUAAAGAAGCACCGGCUAACUACGUG